AGCGAACGCUGGCGGCAGGCCUAACACAUGCAAGUCGAACGGAUCCUUCGGGAUUAGUGGCGGACGGGUGAGUAACACGUGGGAACGUGCCUUUUGGUUCGGAACAACUCAGGGAAACUUGAGCUAAUACCGGAUAAGCCCUUCGGGGAAAGGAUUUAUCGCCAUUAGAGCGGCCCGCGUCUGAUUAGCUAGUUGGUGGG
rnacentral:rRNA from 1 species